rnacentral:rRNA from 1 species
GACGAACGCUGGCGGCGUGCUUAACACAUGCAAGUCGAACGGAAAGGCCCUGCUUUUGUGGGGUGCUCGAGUGGCGAACGGGUGAGUAACACGUGAGUAACCUGCCCUUGACUUUGGGAUAACUUCAGGAAACUGGGGCUAAUACCGGAUAGGAGCUCCUGCUGCAUGGUGGGGGUUGGAAAGUUUCGGCGGUUGGGGAUGGACUCGCGGCUUAUCAGCUUGUUGGUGGGGUAGUGGCUUACCAAGGCUUUGACGGGUAGCCGGCCUGAGAGGGUGACCGGCCACAUUGGGACUGAGAUACGGCCCAGACUCCUACGGGAGGCAGCAGUGGGGAAUAUUGCACAAUGGGCGGAAGCCUGAUGCAGCAACGCCGCGUGCGGGAUGACGGCCUUCGGGUUGUAAACCGCUUUCGCCUGUGACGAAGCGUGAGUGACGGUAAUGGGUAAAGAAGCACCGGCUAACUACGUGCCAGCAGCCGCGGUGAUACGUAGGGUGCGAGCGUUGUCCGGAUUUAUUGGGCGUAAAGGGCUCGUAGGUGGUUGAUCGCGUCGGAAGUGUAAUCUUGGGGCUUAACCCUGAGCGUGCUUUCGAUACGGGUUGACUUGAGGAAGGUAGGGGAGAAUGGAAUUCCUGGUGGAGCGGUGGAAUGCGCAGAUAUCAGGAGGAACACCAGUGGCGAAGGCGGUUCUCUGGGCCUUUCCUGACGCUGAGGAGCGAAAGCGUGGGGAGCGAACAGGCUUAGAUACCCUGGUAGUCCACGCUGUAAACGGUGGGUACUAGGUGUGGGGUCCAUUCCACGGGUUCCGUGCCGUAGCUAACGCUUUAAGUACCCCGCCUGGGGAGUACGGCCGCAAGGCUAAAACUCAAAGGAAUUGACGGGGCCCCGCACAAGCGGCGGAGCAUGCGGAUUAAUUCGAUGCAACGCGUAGAACCUUACCUGGGUUUGACAUGGAUCGGGAGCGCUCAGAGAUGGGUGUGCCUCUUUUGGGGUCGGUUCACAGGUGGUGCAUGGCUGUCGUCAGCUCGUGUCGUGAGAUGUUGGGUUAAGUCCCGCAACGAGCGCAACCCUUGUUCACUGUUGCCAGCACGUUAUGGUGGGGACUCAGUGGAGACCGCCGGGGUCAACUCGGAGGAAGGUGGGGAUGACGUCAAGUCAUCAUGCCCCUUAUGUCCAGGGCUUCACGCAUGCUACAAUGGCUGGUACAGAGAGUGGCGAGCCUGUGAGGGUGAGCGAAUCUCGGAAAGCCGGUCUCAGUUCGGAUUGGGGUCUGCAACUCGACCUCAUGAAGUCGGAGUCGAUAGUAAUCGCAGAUCAGCAACGCUGCGGUGAAUACGUUCCCGGG